UACGAAGGGGGCUAGCGUUGUUCGGAAUUACUGGGCGUAAAGCGCACGUAGGCGGAUACUUAAGUCAGGGGUGAAAUCCCGGGGCUCAACCCCGGAACUGCCUUUGAUACUGGGUAUCUCGAGUCCGGAAGAGGUGAGUGGAAUUCCGAGUGUAGAGGUGAAAUUCGUAGAUAUUCGGAGGAACACCAGUGGCGAAGGCGGGUCUCUGGGCAGUUACUGACGCUGAGGAGCGAAAGCGUGGGGAGCGAACAGG
rnacentral:rRNA from 1 species